rnacentral:lncRNA from 10 species
AAGGAAACCCUUUUCAUCAACAACUGCCUGCGAGAAAAGCUGGAACGUUAUCUCAGCAGCUUUGAUGAAGAAAAUGGAUGCAACUCUAACCUCUACAGGCAGAUCAUAGAUUCCGUUGUCCAGCUGUAUAAUGAAAAUAGAGUUCUCAGAGAAGAAUACCGGAGACUCCCCCGGCUUGCCUGAAUCAAAUUUCCAGAGGUAAGUGGUGAAAGGCCACAAUAUGAAGUCACUCUCAGAUGGGUCCCUUCUCUUGUCACACC